ACAGAGGGGGCAAGCGUUGUCCGGAAUUACUGGGCGUAAAGCGUCCGCAGGUGGCUGUGCAAGUGUGAUGUGAAAGCCCCGCGCUUAACGCGGGGAGGCCACCACAGACUGCGCAACUCGAGGGAUGCAGAGGGUCGUGGAAUUGCCGGUGUAGUGGUGAAAUGCGUAGAGAUCGGCAGGAACACCAAGGACGAAGGUAGCGACCUGGGCACCACCUGACACUCAGGGACGACAGCGUGGGGAGCGAACCGGAUUAGAUACCCGGGUAGUCCACGCCGUAAACGAUGGAUGCUCGGCGUGUGGCGGCUAUCAACGCCGCUGGGCGCCUCAGCUGACGCGCAAGCAUCCCGCCUGGGAACUACGAGCGCAAGCUUA
rnacentral:rRNA from 1 species